CACCCUGAACACCCCCAAUCUCGUCUGAUCUCGGAAGCUAUGCAGGGCCG
rnacentral:rRNA from 10 species